rnacentral:rRNA from 1 species
UACAGAGGUCCCGAGCGUUGUUCGGAUUCACUGGGCGUAAAGGGUGCGUAGGUGGCGAGGUAAGUCGGAUGUGAAAGCUCGGAGCUCAACUCCGAAACUGCAUUCGAUACUGCCGUGCUUGAGGACUGGAGAGGAGACUGGAAUUUACGGUGUAGCGGUGAAAUGCGUAGAUAUCGUAAGGAAGACCAGUGGCGAAGGCGGGUCUCUGGACAGUUCCUGACGCUGAGGCACGAAGGUCAGGGGAGCAAACGGG